rnacentral:rRNA from 1 species
GAUGAACGCUGGCGGCGUGCCUAAUACAUGCAAGUCGAGCGAACAGACGAGGAGCUUGCUCCUCUGACGUUAGCGGCGGACGGGUGAGUAACACGUGGAUAACCUACCUAUAAGACUGGGAUAACUUCGGGAAACCGGAGCUAAUACCGGACAAUAUAUUGAACCGCAUGGUUCAAUAGUGAACGACGGUUUUGCUGUCACUUAUAGAUGGAUCCGCGCCGCAUUAGCUAGUUGGUAAGGUAACGGCUUACCAAGGCAACGAUGCGUAGCCGACCUGAGAGGGUGAUCGGCCACACUGGAACUGAGACACGGUCCAGACUCCUACGGGAGGCAGCAGUAGGGAAUCUUCCGCAAUGGGCGAAAGCCUGACGGAGCAACGCCGCGUGAGUGAUGAAGGUCUUCGGAUCGUAAAACUCUGUUAUUAGGGAAGAACAAAUGUGUAAGUAACUAUGCACGUCUUGACGGUACCUAAUCAGAAAGCCACGGCUAACUACGUG